rnacentral:lncRNA from 1 species
UCUGAGGGAAGGUGAGUGUUGCCAGCCAGGUCAUGCCUUAUCCGAAGCGAAGUGAAGACGCUCAGGUGUUUCCCUGUGAAGUUCCGAAGUGAGACUGUUUGGGAUAGAGGAGCAGAGUGGCAGGGGGUUGCUUGCAAGCACAGUGGUCGUUUUGUCCUUUUGUGUUCCCAGGUGUUGUGGAUGAUGGUGGCCGCUCCUUUCAAGCUUGGACCUAAUUUGCAGGUCCAGAGGCAAGUGGAGUGCUGUUUUGAAAGGUAG